rnacentral:rRNA from 1 species
CAGCCGCCGCGGUAAUACGGAGGGAGCUAGCGUUGUUCGGAAUUACUGGGCGUAAAGCGCACGUAGGCGGCUUUGUAGGUUAGAGGUGAAAGCCUGGAGCUCAACUCCAGAAUUGCCUUUAAGACUGCAUCGCUUGAAUCCAGGAGAGGUGAGUGGAAUUCCGAGUGUAGAGGUGAAAUUCGUAGAUAUUCGGAAGAACACCAGUGGCGAAGGCGGCUCACUGGACUGGUAUUGACGCUGAGGUGCGAAAGCGUGGGGAGCGAACAGGAUUAGAUACCCCUGUAGUCCCUGUCUCUUAUAC